rnacentral:lncRNA from 1 species
AGGCAUGGGCCGCUCCUUUGAAAAUCCCCAGUUCAUCUCUAAUUAUCCAGCCCGCUCUUGUCUCUAUCUGUGUGUUGUUGAAGGCUCCAUCAUAGUUGCAUUUCACAAAACCUGUAGGUGGUUUAAUCCAUUUGUUCCGUUGAUGUUCCAUGUCUCUUCUCAGCUCUUUUCUAUCUUCAUCUUUAUCUACGGUUUGGUAGGCUUCCAACCAUUCUUUUGUAUCAAAAUAGGCUGUUUGUAAGGUUGUGCGCCAGUGUAUUGAUGUUUGUUGGAAGAUCAUCUUGUUUCUACAUUUUCAUAUUCUCCAAAGUAUCCACCAUGGAAGAUGUUGGAGAUGGUCUGUGAGGUUUGGGAUUCUUUGUAGAAGCGCCGUGAGCUUAUCUUUUAAUGUAGAUUGUGUCUGGUAGAAGAUGUUGUGUGGCAAACCUGAUGCCCUCCAAAAAUAUUUUUUUAAUUCUUUUUUCUGUAACUACUUUUUUUUUAUUUUUUUUUUUUAAAAACAUAAUAUAACUUGACAACAUUUUGUUUCCUUUUUUAAAGGAUAUCGAAUUUUGAAAUAAUAAAAUUCUAUUGGUUGGUGAACUUACAGGUUCACCCUAAUUAAGGGAUGAACCCAAGAAUAACUCAUCUACUUUACUGGGUAAUCGCCAGUUGGAAUUGCCAUAUAAGUAAGUAAUGAUAAUAAAUUCAAAAUCAAAGUACUGAUUUCAAAAUAUGUAAAUGUUUUUGAGUUUAGUAUGACCUAGUAGUUACCACGGAAUAUGAAUAAUUACCACAAAAUGGUGGUCCUGAAGUAUGGAAUUUAGUGAAACCACACAUGCACUUGCGGGUAAAUUGAUAUAAUGAUAACAAAAUGAUAUACAUAGGAAUAUAGAUAAGAGUGUUAUAUAGAAAACAAAAAAAG